AUUUCUAAGGCUCCUUCACAUGUGGCCGAGGGGUGCAUCCUUCGCCAGCCAACAUAUCCCAAGGUUCGCCAGCGAGGAUCUAAGAACAUGGCGGCAUAAGCAGAGGAGUAAACAGCAGCUGAAGAGACACUUUAAAUGACAGUGCACAAAGUGCUGGUGGAGUGGCUGUUCUGGAUCAUAUGUGAUCAGGGAUGAGGUGACAACAGCUGUGGGUGGGAGUACAGAUGAGUUUGCAGGCAAGACUGGUUCCCCUGGUACAGUGAGGGUUUGGAUUCUUCAGAGAUCAGUACCAUCUCUGCAGUAAGGAGCCACGUUGUAGAGCCGUAUAGCAGUGGGUAAGAACAGGGGGUGUGAGGUGUGUCCAAGAUGGCUAACAGCUGUUGAGCAUCCUUUGUUCUGCCACAACCUCAAAAGAGUCCAGCUUGACUCCUACAACAGAGCCAGCCUUCCUAAUAAGCUUAUUUAUUUUGUUUAGAGCGCAUAGGAGCUUAGUGCCCACACCAAAAGACCUCAGCCUCCUCAGGAAGUAGAGACUGCUCUAGCCUCUCUUGUACACUGCAAGAGUGUUACAGCUCCAGUCCAGCUUGUUGUCCAAGUGCACACCCAGAUAGUUGUACAUCUCUACCACCUCCACAUCAACUCCAUCAAUGGUGACUGGUGACAGGGCAGGUUUGGACUUCCUAAAAUCCAGCACCAUCUCCUUAGUCUUACUGAUGUUUAGCUGCAGCUGGUUCAGCUUACACCAGUCAACAAAUCCUUCACCAGCUUCCUGUGUUCCUCCUCCUGUCCAUUCCUCAUGCACCCCACGAUGGCCGUGUCAUCCGAGAAUUUCUACAGAUGACACGACUCUGUGUUGUAAGUCAGAGGUGUACAGGUUGAACGGGAAUGGAGCUAACACAGUCCCCUGUGGUGCCCCAUCACUGCACACAGCCUUGUCUGAGACACAGCCCUGCAGUCGCACAUACUGGGGUCGUCCAGUCAGGUAGUCCAUUAUCCAUGCGAUGAUAGAUUCAUCCACCUGCAUCAGCCGUAGCUUCUCCCCUAUCAGCACAGGCUGUAUGGUGUUAAAUGCACUGGAGAAAUCGAAGAACAUGAUCCUCACAGUGCUGCCUGAUGUGUCCAGGUGAGAGUACGUUCUGUCCAGCAGAUAGACAACUGCAUCAUCCACUCCAAUGCCAUCCUGAUAUGCAAACUGCAGAGGGUCAAGAGCUGUUCUGACCAGAGAUCUCAGAUGAGCUAGCAUCAGUCUUUUAAGUGUCUUCAUUAGCAUUUUAAUGAAGUGUUAUCGGUUGCCUUUUCUUGGCGACAGGAACCACACAAGAUGUUUUCCACAUAACUGGGACUCUCUUCAGGCUGCGGCUCAGAUUAAAAAUGUGCUGAAGAAUUCCACACAGCUGCUCCGCACUGUUUCAGUACCCUAGGUUCAAUGCCAUAAGGUCCUGCUGCUUUGCUUUGCUUGAGUUUUUUUCAAAUAAUGAAUAUGCAAAUCAUGCUAAGAGGACUACCAUAAAACAGCACUACAUGCCUCGCCUCAGGUACACUACAUGGCCCCAUGUAGUGUGGGGCCACUUUACUGGGGCAGAAUAUGCUGCAUUGGGACAUACAAAUAUUUUGUCAAUCCCUGGUGAGUAUUCCAGAGGUCGAGGCAGUGAAUAUGGAGCACAAUAACCUCUCUGCAGCCUGCCAAGUAAAAUUGACCUUGAAACUAAUACAGCAUUUCAGUGAUUCUAAACUUAACCAUGCACCAAGCCAUGAAUCCGCCAUAAGACAUACUUUUGGGGCUAAGAGUCUUUGGACCAUGCACACCAGCUGGCCUAUAAAGCCAACCAUCUCUCUGGUCACCUGAAAUUGAGAAGCCACAUGAGGAUGCAGGACCUGCAAAAAGAAGGCACAAAGCUUAAACCACUGCUAGAAAUUCCUAGAAUGACUCAAGGUAUGGCAAAGUGUGUCACUUCAUAUUCUCUAGGCUUCUAUUCCUGGGACAGCACCACACAUAUAUCCACAUUGCUUGCACUGGUGUUGACAAUAGAGAUAUUUUAAAAUAUCUAGUCUGUGUCUGCAGCCAUGUUCACUGGACCAGUAAGAGCUAACAAUAUGGCCCAGAACAUUGAAACCCCCUUGAAAUCCUGUACAUGACCCACAGCAAAGUUCCAUUAAUUUUUUCAUUAUGGUAAGGUUUUUUCUUCAUAUUGAGCUGAAGUCACAAGUGCAUUCAGGCCUUUGUCAUUUUCCGCUAAGAGUGUCAUCACGUUAUCUGUCAUUCGAAAGUUACUGAUUUUUUCCACCAAUCUUGAAUUGUCAAUCAUCGGUCCUGCUUCUCUUAUUAUAUGUUUAGCAUACAUGUUUCACAGGCAUGGGGAUAGUGGGAAACCUUGCCAAUGUGGAAGCAUUCAGUUUGUCCAUUUUCUGUCAUGACUUUGGCUUACUGAUCAGUAUAGGGGUUCCUUAUUAGAACAACAAAAUCCUCUGGCAUGCCCAGUUUCCUGAGGAUGUAACAAUUUUAUGUGGUCGUGUAGUCCAAAAGACACCAUUUGGAACAUAAUCCCCCCUCCACCAAACUUUACACUCGGCACAAUGCAGUCAGACAAGUACCGUCUCCUGGCAACCGCCAAACCCAGACUCAUCCAUCGGAUUGCC